CGGCUACCACAUCCAAGGAAGGCAGCAGGCACGCAAAUUACCCAAUCCCAGCCCUGGGAGGUAGUGACGAAAAAUAACAAUGCGGGACUCUUCCGAGUCUGCGUAAUUGGAAUGAGCACACUUUAAAUCCUUUAGCAACAACCAAUUAGAGGGCAAGUCUGGUGCCAGCAGCCGCGGUAAUUCCAGCUCUAAUAGCGUAUAUUAAAGUUGUUGCGGUUAAAAAGCUCGUAGUUCGAGGUCAGUUCCGGACUGGGGUGGGAGGUCACCGCCCGGUGCUUCCCCGUCAGGCUCCGAACAGCUUCCUUUUAUGGAAGCCAAGCCGGUUCUGCCGGGGUGCUCUUUACCGAGUGUCCCGCGCGGCCGGCCAGUUCACCUUGAAUAAAUGAGAGUGCUCAAAGCAGGCUACUCUGGAAUACAAUGCCCGAAUGUUAGCUGCAUGGAAUGAUGGAAGAUGAUCUCGGUUCCCUUUUGUUGGUGGUGGGAGCCCGAGGUAAUGAUAAACAGGGACUGUCGGGGGCAUCCGUACUACGACGCGAGAGGUGAAAUU
rnacentral:rRNA from 1 species